rnacentral:rRNA from 1 species
UGAGGAAUAUUGGUCAAUGGGCGCAGGCCUGAACCAGCCAAGUAGCGUGAAGGAUGACUGCCCUAUGGGUUGUAAACUUCUUUUAUAAAGGAAUAAAGUCGGGUAUGUAUACCCGUUUGCAUGUACUUUAUGAAUAAGGAUCGGCUAACUCCGUGCCAGCAGCCGCGGUAAUACGGAGGAUCCGAGCGUUAUCCGGAUUUAUUGGGUUUAAAGGGAGCGUAGAUGGAUGUUUAAGUCAGUUGUGAAAGUUUGCGGCUCAACCGUAAAAUUGCAGUUGAUACUGGAUAUCUUGAGUGCAGUUGAGGCAGGCGGAAUUCGUGGUGUAGCGGUGAAAUGCUUAGAUAUCACGAAGAACUCCGAUUGCGAAGGCAGCCUGCUAAGCUGCAACUGACAUUGAGGCUCGAAAGUGUGGGUAUCAAACAGGAUUAGAUACCCUGGUAGUCCACACGGUAAACGAUGAAUACUCGCUGUUUGCGAUAUACAGCAAGCGGCCAAGCGAAAGCGUUAAGUAUUCCACCUGGGGAGUACGCCGGCAACGGUGAAACUCAAAGGAAUUGACGGGGGCCCGCACAAGCGGAGGAACAUGUGGUUUAAUUCGAUGAUACGCGAGGAACCUUACCCGGGCUUAAAUUGCAGAUGAAUUACGGUGAAAGCCGUAAGCCGCAAGGCAUCUGUGAAGGUGCUGCAUGGUUGUCGUCAGCUCGUGCCGUGAGGUGUCGGCUUAAGUGCCAUAACGAGCGCAACCCUUGUUGUCAGUUACUAACAGGUUUCGCUGAGGACUCUGACAAGACUGCCAUCGUAAGAUGUGAGGAAGGUGGGGAUGACGUCAAAUCAGCACGGCCCUUACGUCCGGGGCUACACACGUGUUACAAUGGGGGGUACAGAGGGCCGCUACCACGCGAGUGGAUGCCAAUCCCCAAAACCUCUCUCAGUUCGGACUGGAGUCUGCAACCCGACUCCACGAAGCUGGAUUCGCUAGUAAUCGCGCAUCAGCCACGGCGCGGUGAAUACGUUCCC